UCUGCAGCUGAUACCAAUUCCCGAUAGGGAAUUUGUCCUCUAGUUUUAUAAGAUGUUCCCAUCGAGAGAAACUGCUUAAAAAAAUACAGGAGAACCCUCUCCUAGGUCCGACUACGGUAUGUAAAUCUACAAUUAUCACAAUGUAAAAAGUUUACAUGUAAACUUACAGGGGAAUUGAAAUUUACCACAAAUCUCCAAUUGAGUCUACUGUGCUCUAGCACACCGAAAUUCUGAGGGUCUAAGCAUGUGUUUGGAGUUCACGGAGUUCCCACUGGGGCUCAGCAGGAUAAGAACCUGACUGGUAUGCAUGAAGAUGCGGGUUCAAUCCUUGGCCUCACUCGGUGGGUUAAGGGCCUGGCGUUGCUGCAAGCUGCGGCUUAGGUGGUAGAUGCGGCUGGGAUCUGGUGUGGCUGUGGCAGGGGCAUAGGCCUGCAGCUGCGGCUCCAAUUGAAUCCUUAGUCUGGGAACUUUCAUAUGCUGCACCUGUAGCCAUAAAAAAGAAAAAAUAAUAAUAGUAAUUAUAGUUCACAAAACUGCUGGCUUUGAUCCUCUUGUCCCUUCCAACUCAGUAGCCUGGAAACCUCCCAGAGCUCUAUCUUAAGAUCUGUGCUUUUCUGUGGCACUUUCUCCCCUCCUCAUUGUUCUGGGUUCAUUAGAUAAAACUGUCCCAAACUCCUGCUGAGAGAUGAUCUAUUGUGAGAUAGCUUUGUGAGGCAGAACACAGGAAACCUCAGGGUCUUAUCUCCUGUGAGCCGUCUGUUUUUCCCCAACAGCCCAAUAAAGGAGACUCCUCAGCUGGCGGGGAGUGGUUGGGAAGGCAGACACGGUCCCCAGACCCCUGACCCCUGACCCCACCCUCCACGGCCCUCUCUGUCGCAGACGUCGUAAAAUGUCUCUCUCCUCAUCAUGGAUCAAAGCUGUUUUCAUCAUUUCCUUGGCAGGACCUCUUCAUUCUGGUGAGUAGAUUUUCAUCUGCAGUGAAACAUGUUACAUAUCUUAGAAAGUGCAGGAAAAAGUUCUGUAAUCCAGGAAUGGAGGAGCUUGUGUUUUAUUGGGUUU
rnacentral:lncRNA from 1 species